rnacentral:tRNA from 1 species
GGCCGAUUCGACUAGAGGACGAGGUCACGGGAAUUUCACUCCCGAGACGUGGGUUCGAAUCCCGCAUCGGUCGCUA